rnacentral:lncRNA from 1 species
UCGCGCGGGUUUCAAGCUCUGGUUCCCGCCAUCUCUGGCUCCGCCAGCUGCCGCCUCCGGCCGACUUGCGCCACUUGAGGGAAUAUGUUAUUUGCUAAUGAGAUUACGUCGGUUCAAAGAAUUCUGCUAAAAUUGAAGACAAAGGCAUUAAUAUAGGUAAAUAAUAAUUUGCUCCUAAAUGCUUUAGUAUUUUUUUGUUAUUUCACUUAAAAUCAAAUGUGUCUGUUUUUGAAUGAGUAGAUCAUAGCAUAGAUGAUAUUGACAAAGAACCACAAUUGAUCCAAUUUUGUGUACAAACAAGUACAAAAAAUUACUAAUUUAAAAAAAAUUAUUUUUAAGUGGUCCUUUAGUUAAGCUAGACAGUUCUGUAGUCUGUCCUGAAUUCAUCCAGUUUUAAUGAUGUGUGAUCUGAAAUGUCCUAACUCACGUAUCUGACUGGCUUUGGCUGGGAUGCCUUCUUCAUGUGACCUUUCAGCCUUAGAUAUGUAAGUACGAUGGUUCUCUUUCCCCUUCCUAGAUUUAUGGCACAGCAGUCUCAGGACAGGACUCCAACACAGCUAAGUCUGAUGCAGAAGCACCCGAUCUUAGGUUUGUCAGUGUGACCUUGCCCCAGGCAAGGCUCGUGGUCAGGCCCAGAAUCGGUGUGUAGUUAAGCUUAAAUGGCAUCUCCUGCUAGGAAAGGGAGCAAACUAUAAAGUUUAUAGUGACGUGAAGGAAGCUAUGCUUAGAGCAGGAGAACAGAAACAGAAAGGGAGCCAACCAAGCUUCCGUGAUGCCUAGACCUGAAGUGUACACUAAGAAAUGAUAACCCAGGAGCAGGGUCCAAGAUAGUGAGCGUCAGCUGAGCGAUAGGUUGGCUGGGUUGAAAAUCAUAACGAUACUGAAAGCAUCUACAUGGGCCUUUAUAAUUCAUAAGACAUUUUCAUGUAUCUAAUCUCAGGCCCUGAGUAAACUGUGGUGAUUACCCUGCAAGCUUUACAGGGAGCAGGGGAAAACCAAUCAUGGAGCAGGACUUACAGUCUGGCCCAGAUCAGUUUUCUUUGGCCACAUUUAAGCACAGCACAGUUUUUGGAAAAAGUAGAUAAGAAUUAACUCAGUCCCAAGUAUACAACAAUUGAAGACAAGUUUACAUUGAGAUUCUUUGCAAAAUGCCUGGCUUCUUUCACAAAAUGGUCUCUGUUAUAAAUAGUUGUGAAGAUAGAGGGUUUAGUAAGCAUUAAUGCCUGUGGUGUCAGGAUUGUCCUGGCCUUAACAUAGAAGUCUCUUAGGCUGUUGUGAAGCACCAGUGACAUCACUUAUAAGGAUGGGUCUUAUGGCCUAAAGUCAAUACUCAAAGUUUUAAGGGGAAAGAAUGGGUCUGGGAUAAAUAAAUACAGUCUGGAAGAUAUGGACAGAGCCUGUCUCUUCAGACAGCAAAGCUUCACCAGGUUGUAAAACUCCCUCAUUCCUGGCAUUUCAGGAGGAGCAGCUGCACACCUCAUUCCACUGAAGAGGUGAGCUGUGUGUUUAACUUUCCUGGACCCUCCUGUGCUUCCCUGUGCGCACAAAGCCUUUUUGCCCUCUACUUAGAACAUCGAAGACUCUGUUGAUUCUCAUUUUGACAUUGAUUGAACCAGGAUUUCACAGAGUUUCAUUAAUCUCUCCGUGGUCAUAAGGCUAUUAGAGGGAAGAGCUAGGAUCUAAGGAUUUCUGAUGACCAGCCAUACUCCUGUUCUCUGGUGAAACUUUGUAUCAAGAAAUUGUAACGC